AUUUGUAUAAUUUCUAAAUUAUAGCUAUUUAAAUGUGAAGACAAUAUAAAGUCAAGUGUGUGCACAAUAUUGAGAUUAUUUGUUGGUUACAUUUGAAGCUCAUGGAUUCAUACAUUCUUUCCCUUGGUGCUUGUGUGCUGUCAAUACUUUCUUUAUAGAUGUAUCAAGCUAAAACAUUUGUUUCACUACUUCAUGUAUUUAACUUUAUAGAUGUAUCAAGCUAAAACAUUUGUUUCACUACUUCAUGUAUUUAACUUUAUAGAUGUAUCAAGCUAACACAUUUGUUUCAUUACUUCAUGUAUUUAAAGAUA